rnacentral:rRNA from 1 species
GUGGGGAAUCUUAGACAAUGGGCGCAAGCCUGAUCUAGCCAUGCCGCGUGAGCGAUGAAGGCCUUAGGGUUGUAAAGCUCUUUCGUGGGGGAAGAUAAUGACUGUACCCCAAGAAGAAGCCCCGGCUAACUCCGUGCCAGCAGCCGCGGUAAUACGGAGGGGGCUAGCGUUGUUCGGAAUUACUGGGCGUAAAGCGCACGUAGGCGGACUGGAAAGUCAGGGGUGAAAUCCCGGGGCUCAACCCCGGAACUGCCUUUGAAACUCCCAGUCUUGAGUUCGAGAGAGGUGAGUGGAAUUCCGAGUGUAGAGGUGAAAUUCGUAGAUAUUCGGAGGAACACCAGUGGCGAAGGCGGCUCACUGGCUCGAUACUGACGCUGAGGUGCGAAAGCGUGGGGAGCAAACAGGAUUAGAAACCUUGUAGUCC